rnacentral:rRNA from 1 species
GACAGAGGGUGCAAGCGUUGUUCGGAAUUACUGGGCGUAAAGCGCGUGUAGGCGGCCCUGCAAGUCGGGUGUGAAAUCCCACGGCUCAACCGUGGAAGUGCACUCGAAACUGCAGGGCUAGAGUCCUGGAGAGGAAGGUGGAAUGCUUGGUGUAGAGGUGAAAUUCGUAGAUAUCAAGCGGAACACCGGUGGCGAAGGCGGCCUUCUGGACAGUGACUGACGCUGAGACGCGAAAGCGUGGGGAGCAAACAGG